UACGGGAGGCAGCAGUGGGGAAUAUUGCACAAUGGGCGAAAGCCUGAUGCAGCUAUGCCGCGUGUAUGAAGAAGGCCUUAGGGUUGUAAAGUACUUUCAUCGGGGAGGAAAAAACAAAACUAAUAAUUUUAUUUCUUGACGUUACCCGAAAAAGAAGCACCGGCUAACUCCGUGCCAGCAGCCGCGGUAAUACGGAGGGUGCUAGCGUUAAUCAGAAUUACUGGGCGUAAAGAGCACGUAGGUGGUUUUUUUAAGUCAGAUGUGAAAUCCCUGGGCUUAACCUGGAACUGCAUUUUGAAACUGAAAUACUAGAGUAUCGUAGAGGGAGGUAGAAUUCUAGGUGUAGCGGUGAAAUGCGUAGAUAUCUGGAGGAAUACCUGUGGCGAAAGCGGCCUCCUAAACGAAUACUGACACUGAGGUGCGAAAGCGUUGGGGAGCAAACAGGGAUUUAGGAUA
rnacentral:rRNA from 1 species